AACUAAGUUGACGAGGAUGAGAUUUAUCGAAUUUUUUCGGCGGAUAUCUCACGUAAAUAGCACUAGCGUUAAUAAUUAACAAAACUACAAAGUAAUUUGUAGGACAAAUUUAAUUAUGUGCAAUCUA
rnacentral:ncRNA from 2 species